CAAUAGCGUAUAUUAAAGUUGUUGCAGUUAAAAAGCUCGUAGUUGGAUUUCUGGUGGGAGCGAUCGGUCUGGCGCUUAGCGCGAGUACUUGCAUCGUCUCCGGCCAUCCUUGGGGAGAGUCUGUCUGGCAUUAGGUUGUCGGGCAGAGGAUCCUCAUCGUUUACUGUGAAAAAAUUCGAGUGUUCAAAGCAGGCUUAUGCCGUUGAAUAUAUUAGCAUGGAAUAAUAAGAUAGGACUUUGGUACUAUUUUGUUGGUUUGCGCACCAAAGUAAUGAUUAAUAGGGACAGUUGGGGGUAUUCGUAUUCCGUUGUCAGAGGUGAAAUUCUUGGAUUUACGGAAGACGAACUACUGCGAAAGCAUUUACCAAGGAUGUUUUCAUUAA
rnacentral:rRNA from 1 species